rnacentral:rRNA from 1 species
CGGAGGGUGCAAGCGUUUAUCCGGAAUCAUUGGGUUUAAAGGGUUCGCAGGCGGGGUUAUAAGUCAGUGGUGAAAGCCUAUUGCUCAACAAUAGAACUGCCAUUGAUACUGUAGCCCUUGAAUUCGGUCGAAGUGGGCGGAAUAUGACAUGUAGCGGUGAAAUGCUUAGAUAUGUCAUAGAACACCGAUAGCGAAGGCAGCUCACUAGGCCUGGAUUGACGCUCAGGGACGAAAGCGUGGGGAGCAAACAGGAUUAGAUACCCUGGUAGUCCACGCCGUAAACUAUGAUUACUCGUUCUCGGCGAUAUACAGUCGGGGACUAAGCGAAAGCAUUAAGUAAUCCACCUGGGAAGUACGACCGCAAGGUUG